rnacentral:rRNA from 1 species
AGUGAACGCUGGCGGUAGGCCUAACACAUGCAAGUCGAACGGCAGCACAGUAAGAGCUUGCUCUUACGGGUGGCGAGUGGCGGACGGGUGAGGAAUACAUCGGAAUCUACUUUUUCGUGGGGGAUAACGUAGGGAAACUUACGCUAAUACCGCAUACGACCUACGGGCGAAAGCAGGGGAUCUUCGGACCUUGCGCGAUUGAAUGAGCCGAUGUCGGAUUAGCUAGUUGGCGGGGUAAAGGCCCACCAAGGCGACGAUCCGUAGCUGGUCUGAGAGGAUGAUCAGCCACACUGGAACUGAGACACGGUCCAGACUCCUACGGGAGGCAGCAGUGGGGAAUAUUGGACAAUGGGCGCAAGCCUGACCAGCCAUACCGCGUGGGUGAAGAAGGCCUUCGGGUUGUAAAGCCCUUUUGUUGGGAAAGAAAAGCAGCAGGUUAAUACCCCGCUGUUCUGACGGUACCCAAAGAAUAAGCACCGGCUAACUUCGUG